UCUAUUGCAGUAGGUCUGCGUCCUCAUAAAUUAAAGCCAGUCGCCAUAUUAUCCAUUAAUCCAUCUUUUUUUUUUUUUCUUUUCCUUUUUUAUUUUUUAUUGCGUUGCUGUUAGACCACAUGCUACAUUGCAUUAUUUGCCAUGGGAAAAUCUGUGUCUACACAUUACAGGUGCUACUAUAGCACCAGAGUGAAUGUGUCAGGUGCAUGAAAGGAAAGUGAAAAAAAAAAAAGUGAACCAACUCGGCAACCACCCGUCAGCGAUCACACGUCACACCCAUCAGCUUCGGCGCGGCACAUCGAAUUUGUCACGUCCCUCCACCCUCCAAGUGUAAACCCCAUGCUUCCACUUCCACCCCCCGGUUUCUCGGCCUCCUCUGCCAUCGUUCUCCCUUUGUUUAUAGGAACUUUCGUCGCGAAAAGAAAAAAGAACGAAAAAAAAAAAAAAUAAAUAAAAAAAGAAAAUACAAAAAUAAAAUAUAUAAUCCAUCGACGGACGAUAGAGUGCGUGUACAACAGCACAGCACGAUAGUGUGAAGCCCGGAACAGAAAUGGAAGGUAGGGCCAUAAGAGGGGCCGUCAAUUAUAAUUUGUAUUGGUCAUUAGCAACGUGUAGAGCGCUGAAAAAGAGUUCGGGUGACACAACUGUCUGGUGAUAGGAGAACACGCAUGUAUACACUCUAUCGUGCCCUUUGUUCAAUUUUUACACACGCAGUUGUUUAUGUUUAUCAUAGUGAAUAUGGAAGGAUAGCGUGCGGCUGUGUGCUUUGUCACCCUCUCCCCUUCCUAUUAACGACCGGUACACUACUAGGUCUAUGUCGUAUUUACCCCUUCCCGCUUUAUGUGUACAAUUUAUUGUUCAUUGAUGUACUGCCCUAUCGCUACAUAGCACUGCUCUUAUUGCACCUAUGUAGCAAAGCUCUUCUGCUACCGGUGGACACCCGCCAACACUCAUCACGCAUUUAUGAUUCUUCUUUAGCUGGCACACUUCAUCGACCGACUUUCCCAAUCAGGCUUAGAUCCAAUCUUUGGCUUUUGAAACAAUGCAUAUAAGAACGGAGCACGCAAUACAACGCGCCACGCGCUAGAAUAUAUAGGCCUACAUUUGUGUCUGUGUGACCAAUAGACCUACUUUGAUUCAUUUUUACGUUUUCAAACGAUAGGACAGCCGUAAAUGUGUGUUAGUAUUCAGCAAAUUGUGACCCAGAGAGAUGGUUCAUUGUUGUCUGUCAAGCAGUUAUUUUAGGACACUCGUUUACUAAUAUAUGUAAAUCUUCUUCAAAAAGUAUAUGAAAAAGCUGUUAUGAUGCGUCUAUCAAACACGGUUUUACAUGCUAUGAUCAAUGAAAUCUAAGAAAGGAUCGUAAAUGAGUGACAACGUCACUCACGGACCACUAGGGAAAAAGCAAAUGAUAUUUCAGCACAGCUUGAAUAGAAGACGACACUGUUGCUACUUGCUACCGAAACGUGGGCUUCCAUGAAAUGAACAACUCAAGUUCUACCUUAUCUAGCCGAAUUAGCUUUAUGUAAGUAGCCUAGUGCUGUAGAAAGUCUGUAGUGAUUGAUCUGAAUAUGGGAGUUCUACGCUUGAAUGGGCAACAAGACACGCAAUUAUUUCGUCGAUGAUUGAAAACAAAGAAUGUGUCUUUACUUGUAACCGGUAACUUUUUCUUAUGUUGACGCGAGUAUUGAAUUAAUUCAAGCGGCGUGUAAGCAAAUAGCAAAUACGCGUGUUAUACAAAUACACAUAACUUAUCAAACGA